UACGGAGGGGACUAGCGUUGUUCGGAAUUACUGGGCGUAAAGCGCACGUAGGCGGAUUUGUAAGUCAGGGGUGAAAUCCCGGGGCUCAACCUCGGAACUGCCUUUGAUACUGUCAGGCUAGAGGUAGGUAGGGGAGAUCGGAAUUCCUGGUGUAGCAGUGAAAUGCGUAGAUAUCAGGAGGAAUACCGAUGGCGAAGGCAGGUCUCUGGGCUGACACUGACGCUCAUGCACGAAAGCGUGGGGAGCAAACAGG
rnacentral:rRNA from 1 species